GCCAGCAUGAUAUAGUGGUUUAAGAGUUAGACUAUGAUUCUGGAGACCAGGGUUCAAUUCCCCGCUUGGCA